GAUGAAGAACGCAGCGAAAUGCGAUACGUAAUGUGAAUUGCAGAAUUCAGUGAAUCAUCGAAUCUUUGAACGCAUAUUGCGCUCUCUGGUAUUCCGGAGAGCAUGCUUGUUUGAGUAUCAGUAAACACCUCAACUCCCUUUUCUUUUUUGAAAUUGGAGCUGGACUUGAGUGAUCCCAACGCUUUCUUCCAAGAAAGUGGCGGGUUGCUUGAAAUGCAGGUGCAGCUGGACUUUUCUCUGAGCUAUAAGCAUAUCUAUUUAGUCUGCCUAAAAAACAGAUUAUUACCUUUGCUGCAGCUAACAUAAAGGAGACUAGUUCUUGUGCUGACUGAUGCAGGAUUCACAGAGACAGCUUCGGCUGACUUUGUAAACUCGAUCUCAAAUCAAGUAAGACUACCCGCUGAACUUAAGCAUAUCAAUAAGCGGAGGA
rnacentral:misc_RNA from 1 species